rnacentral:rRNA from 1 species
AUUGAACGCUGGCGGCAGGCUUAACACAUGCAAGUCGAGCGGAGAUGAGGUGCUUGCACCUUAUCUUAGCGGCGGACGGGUGAGUAAUGCUUAGGAAUCUGCCUAUUAGUGGGGGACAACAUUCCGAAAGGAAUGCUAAUACCGCAUACGCCCUACGGGGGAAGGCAGGGGAUCUUCGGACCUUGCGCUAAUAGCUGAUGCUAAGUCGGAGUAGCUAGUUGGUGGGGUAAAGGCCUACCAAGGCGACGAUCUGUAGCGGGUCUGAGAGGAUGAUCCGCCACACUGGGACUGAGACACGGCCCAGACUCCUACGGGAGGCAGCAGUGGGGAAUAUUGGACAAUGGGCGGAAGCCUGAUCCAGCCGUGCCGCGUGUGUGAAGAAGGCCUUUUGGUUGUAAAGCACUUUAAGCGAGGAGGAGGCUACCUGGAUUAAUACUCUAGGAUAGUGGACGUUACUCGCAGAAUAAGCACCGGCUAACUCUGUGCCAGCAGCCGCAGUAAAAC